rnacentral:rRNA from 1 species
UACGGGGGGGGUAAGCGUUGUUCGGAAUUACUGGGCGUAAAGGGCGCGUAGGCGGCCUUCUAAGUCGAACGUGAAAUCCCUGGGCUCAACCCAGGAACUGCGCCCGAUACUGGAAGGCUUGAAUCCGGGAGAGGGAUGCGGAAUUCCAGGUGUAGCGGUGAAAUGCGUAGAUAUCGGAAGGAACAUCAGUGGCGAAAGCGACUUCCUGGACCAAUACUGACGCUCAUGUGCGAAAGCGUGGGGAGCAAACAGG